rnacentral:rRNA from 1 species
UACGUAGGCAGCGAGCGUUGUUCGGAAUUACUGGGCGUAAAGAGUGUGUAGGCGGUGCUCUAAGUUCGGUGUGAAAUCUCCUGGCUCAACUGGGAGGGUGCGCCGGAAACUGGAGUGCUUGAGCGUGGGAGAGGAAAGCGGAAUUCCUGGUGUAGCGGUGAAAUGCGUAGAUAUCGGGAGGAACACCAGUGGCGAAGGCGGCUACCUGGCCCAUUCUUGACGCUGAGGCGCGAAAGCUAGGGGAGCGAACGGG